AUUGAACGCUGGCGGCAUGCUUUACACAUGCAAGUCGAACGGCAGCACGGGCUUCGGUCUGGUGGCGAGUGGCGAACGGGUGAGUAAUGCAUCGGAACGUACCCGGGAGUGGGGGAUAACUAUCCGAAAGGAUAGCUAAUACCGCAUAUUCUGUGCGCAGGAAAGCAGGGGACCUUCGGGCCUGGCGCGAUUGGAUGAGCCCAUGUCGGAUUAGCUAGUUGGCGGGGUAACGGCCCACCAAGGCGACGAUCCGUAGCUGGUCUGAGAGGAUGAUCAGCCACACUGGAACUGAGACACGGUCCAGACUCCUACGGGAGGCAGCAGUAGGGAAUAUUGGACAAUGGGCGCAAGCCUGAUCCAGCCAUGCCGCGUGAGUGAAGAAGGCCCUCGGGUUGUAAAGCUCUUUUGUCCGGAAAGAAAGCAUCGGGUUAAUACCCCGGUGUUCUGACGGUACCGGAAGAAUAAGCACCGGCUAACUUCGUG
rnacentral:rRNA from 1 species